ensembl:snRNA U4 U4 spliceosomal RNA
AGCUUUGUGCAUUGGCAGUAUCAUAGCCAAUGAGGUUUAUCCGAGGCGCAAUUAUUGCUAAUCAAAAACUAAAUUGUAUUGAAAGAAUUUUCUUUCAAUAGAAUUCUUAAAGAAAUUACCUCUUGGCAGCCAUUUCUGAUGG